rnacentral:rRNA from 1 species
UACGGAGGGUGCAAGCGUUGCUCGGAAUUAUUGGGCGUAAAGGGUAGGUAGGUGGUCUCAUUUGUCUGGGGUGAAAUCCUUGAGCUUAACUCAAUAAGUGCCUCAGAAACGGUGAGACUAGAGUUCUGGAGAGGGUCGUGGAAUUCCCGGUGUAGCGGUGAAAUGCGUAGAGAUCGGGAGGAACACCAGAGGCGAAGGCGGCGACCUGGACAGAUACUGACACUAAACUACGAAAGCGUGGGGAGCAAACAGG